rnacentral:tRNA from 1 species
GCAUCUCGCUUACACCGAGAACAUAUCUGUGAGAUCCGGAUCAUUUUGA